UGUCCGGUUGUUGUUGUUAAUCCUCACCCGAGGGUAUUUUCCCAUUGGUUUUAGGGAGAGUGGGAGAGAGAGGGAAAGACAGAGAGACAUAGAGAGAGAGAAACACAUCCCCUGGAUGCCUCCUGCACAAGCCCUGACCCGGCAGGGCAGGGAGGAGCCUGCAACCCGGGCACCGGCCCUUGAAUGGAAUUGGACUCGGACCCCUUGGCCCGCAGGACACACUGAGAAAACCGGCUAGGGCAGCAGGAAACUGUUUUACUCCUCUCUCCUCUCUCAGGUUAGAUGGUGACCCCGUCGUGCCCCGUGACGGGAACCCGGGGACAGAAGAUCCGGCCAAGGCGUCCCUUCGCGGUGCGCAGCGUGGGCCGGGGCGGGGUGGCACGUCUCUGGAAUGAAAUGAACAGCAAUGUCCGCUCCGGCCUGCGGGGUUCGGCUGCAGCUCGCAGGCCGCCCGGGUUCCUCCCUCCUCCGGACCAGAGGGUAACCGAUCCAGGGAAGGCAACCGAUCCAUGUUUCUCUCUCACAUUGAUGUUUUCUUUUUUCCUCUCUCUCUCUCCCUUUCUGUCUCUAAAAUCAAUAAAAAACAUAUCCUGGUGUGAGGAUUAAAAAACAAAAAACAACGAAGAAAACGCUAUGCCUGUGAAAAGUAAUAAACUGAAGCACAACAAAACGAGGUGCUGCAGACGAUUACAAUAGAAUUGGUUCUUCAUUAUAUGCUUUAGGAACUCAGGAUUCUACAGAUAUAUGCAAAAAAUAGAAGCACAAGUGUCUGCUGACCAACCUCACAUUUUCUGACCUUUUAAAAUAUUACUUAAGAGAACCUCAAGCUGCUAAGGGCAACCUACAGCUGCUGCAGAACUGCCUGGCUGUGUUAAAUGGAGACACAUAAGCCGCACUCCGCCGUCGGGGUUAAAGGGCUGCCUUCCUUCAGAUUUUAUGUUUGUUUUCUUCAUGACGUUCGGCAUUUACUGCUCACUGGGAACAAAAGGAACAGCUGACACAGCGCACCCACUCACCUCUUUCCUGGGAAACCCUGAGCGGGCGGCCCACGGGCACUGCCAGCCCGGCCGGCCGUGGUGGGCGCUGCCCUCCCGCCUCCCGCUCUGCGGCUCCUCCUCUUCCGAAGCCCAAAGUCAGUCCUUUUCUAAAGCAGCCUCUGUAACUCUGUUUGUUUUAUGAUGGUGUUCCUUACGGCUGCCAACCUUACUCACCUUUAAGCGAUUUCUCAAGUUUAACCCUUUCAAAAUACAUUCUUCAAACAAGAUAAAGAUUGCCACUACCUUUUUUUUUUUUUAAUUUUGUUUUUAAGGAAACAUUGUAUGCCACCUAAGUUCAUUCAUGUAUCCUGGUAAAACAUCUUAAUCAGACUUAUUUUUAAUUAAUGAAUAUUUCUUAGAACUUUUGGGACAGACUUUAUGUAAUCUUUCUAAGUAUGAUUUCUGAAGAAAAGCAAAUGCAUUAGUAUGUUUGCCUUAAACUUGUAGACUAAACCAACGAUUGUCAAAUAAACGGUGAUAACAGUGA